AUGGGUAAUCUGGGGGUUAGCAAACGGGACAGUAUUAUAGGGAAAUACAGAGCAGAGUUAAGGUUGCUGAUCACUUCCAGAUUUUCAGAACCAACCUUUAGCUGGGACUUCCUACCAUUUGCUAUUCCUGUCCUAGUUGUUUUAAAUAGCAGCAGUGUCAUGAGGUUUUCCAGAAGUACUCGGUGCUCCUCUCUAAUCGCAACCGAAUCUGCCCGAUUUUUCUGUCUGGGACUACCUUAUCUCGCGUUAGCAGGCGUUGAACUUGCACCACCGGGUGCCGAACAAGACUUGUAAACUGUGAAGUAACUACUAUGGAAAAGAUUAAGUAAAGCAUUGGAGGCGGAUGAUUUUGACAAUAAAGAGGGUGUAUGUGGUGAGUGUUUAAUAUUU
rnacentral:lncRNA from 1 species